UUUCGGUUAACAGCCGAACGCGCUAACCGAUUGCGCCACAGAGACAAGGUUGCACUAAGCUCUUCAACAAAACCUUCUUAAGCAUCUGUAUCUGCAGUCCCAUUGGUCUCCUUGGAAGGGUGAAAGCUACAGCGCCGUGUCUCAGGAAAGUUAAACGCAGUCAGAUGUAAGCGUUAAUUGCCUUCUUCCAUAGAUCAUCAGAUCCGGUAUGAGUUAAUUUGUAAGUUCCAUGAGCAUGUACUGGCACAAGCUGAAGAAUGACCAGUGACUUGGACGCUUUCUGGACAGAUCAUCAUCAGAUCCGGCAUGAGUUAAUUUAUGCAUUUUCCACGGAGCAAUACGCUGGUACAAGUUGAAGAGUGACCAGUGACGCUUUUCGGACAUCAACGCAAGUCUCUGUGGCGCAAUCGGUUAGCGCGUUCGGCUGUUAACCGAAAGGUUGGUGGUUCGAGCCCACCCAGGGACGCAGCUGUUUCUAUUCUGGCUCUGAAUAGAAACCACCAAACUUCUAAUAGACAAUAAAAACAUCAAUCUACUAACAAUCUAACCUAACAGGUUGGUCAAGGAACGUAUUUGCAUUUUCAGCAUUUGGCAGACGCCCUUUCCCAGAGCGUCAUACAAAAGUGCUCAAGUCUCUUAAUUAACUCUGAUUCACUAGGUCACAUACUUAAGAUACCAUGAACCUAAAACAUUGGUCAAAGUUAUUUGAUACAAACAGGGAAGGAAGUUCACACACACACAAAUUGUGUGAUCUCUAACUUCACGACUAUUUAAGAUUUUUUUCCAAACACAUUUUUUUAUCCGAGAAGUUGAUGGUUCAUGUCUAUCCUUCCAUGUUUUAAAAAUGCGAUCUCUUUAGUUACUUGACAGUUUCAGCAAUCAUUUCUGUUAUCUUCUUUGCUUGAUGCAGGCCAAUAAUUUAAACCUUCUUGAACAAGAGUUAGGGAUAUGGUAUGCAAAUGGUCUAUAACUAUAAAACAAGGAAACAAAAAGAUAAGUCAGUCAUGUUACUGGUGAGAUAAGAGAGUUUGACUGCAAGGAGACCAGAGACCAGGGAGGGUGAAGGAUAACGUGCGCCAAAACACAUGACACCAGCCACCACAUCCGUUCGAAACUGCUGCUCAUGUUGGUUCAUAGGGCAGUAAAACACACUCAGAGUAAAGUGCCAACUGCCCUAAUACACACAAAUGAACACACAGACACCCACACUGGGUACAACUUGGUUCAGGAAUUAAGUGUUUGGCCUGCGGGCCUUGAGUUUGACACCUGUGGCCUAAACAGAGAGGCUGUGGCGAAC